rnacentral:lncRNA from 1 species
AGGCAUCUUGGGCAGGUGACUGAACACUGGAGCCAGUGUCCCUGGGAGAUAGGGAAGUCCCUCCCCAUGAAGGGACCUAGGUUCUUUGUAUCCUCUCCUGUAGUCCUGGGCCAAUAACUGACUGCUUUAUGGAAAACACACACACACAAAACAAACAAACAAACAAAGAAACCACCUUGCAUUCAUGCCCCAAGACUGAGCAGACCCUGUGGUACAGUUUAUUCCCCAGAGGCCCCAUGGGAUCAAGCUGAAGCCCAGCUGCAUCGGAGACCACAUCCUUUUUCAUUUUUCUUUCCUCCCUUCCCAAUAUGGCUCCCACCGACCCCUACAUGUUUCUUGUGAGUGCACUCCAUUGAUAAAUGUCUUGCACAAACAUCCCCUUCUCAGGUUCUGCUCCAGGGAACUGUACCCAAGACACUACCAGCAUCUGUCCCUCAAUGCCACACACCUGUCAUCCCACACAUCAAAAGGAAUCCCACGUAAUAGGAUACAAGCACAACUGCAAACACACUCACUGCCCCCGCCCCCUCCAACAAGGAGACAAAUGAAAAGUCCAUCACUCAUCCAGAGAAGACUUUUUAGAGCCACUGUUCUUGGAGCCUGUUACCUCUGGGAGAAACUGCAACUGUAGCAGCAUUCCUUCCCCCCAGGAAUGUGACAAAGAUGAGCACCAUUCCAACACCUGUUGCUGAGGCACUUUCCAGGGGUCUAGCUGUGGAGGCCCCUACUCUUCUCUAGAGCAGGCACUUCAAUCUUCAGGCCAAAACUAAAAUGUCUGCAUGACCACACUGCCAGGUUGCCCAAGAUUGGCUGACUUUGUAUGCAUCCUGAUUAAAAAUGGCAUCUUG